rnacentral:rRNA from 1 species
UACGAAGGGGGCUAGCGUUGUUCGGAUUUACUGGGCGUAAAGCGCACGUAGGCGGAUUUGUCAGUCAGGGGUGAAAUCCCGGGGCUCAACCUCGGAACUGCCUCUGAUACAGCAAAUCUCGAGUCCGGAAGAGGUGAGUGGAACUCCUAGUGUAGAGGUGAAAUUCGUAGAUAUUAGGAAGAACACCAGUGGCGAAGGCGGCUCACUGGUCCGGAACUGACGCUGAGGUGCGAAAGCGUGGGGAGCAAACAGG